CCUACGGGCGGCAGCAGUGAGGAAUAUUGGUCAAUGGACGAGAGUCUGAACCAGCCAAGUAGCGUGAAGGAUGACUGCCCUAUGGGUUGUAAACUUCUUUUAUAUGGGAAUAAAACGUUCCACGUGUGGGAUUUUGUAUGUACCAUAUGAAUAAGGAUCGGCUAACUCCGUGCCAGCAGCCGCGGUAAUACGGAGGAUUCGAGCGUUAUCCGGAUUUAUUGGGUUUAAAGGGAGCGUAGGUGGAUUGUUAAGUCAGUUGUGAAAGUUUGCGGCUCAACCGUAAAAUUGCAGUUGAAACUGGCAGUCUUGAGUACAGUAGAGGUGAGCGGAAUUCGAGGUGUAGCGGUGAAAUGCUUAGAUAUCACGAAGAACUCCGAUUGCGAAGGCAGUUCACUGGACUGCAACUGACACUGAGGCUCGAAAGUGUGGGUAUCAAACAGGAUUAGAUACCCGAGUAGUC
rnacentral:rRNA from 1 species